rnacentral:rRNA from 1 species
UAGCCACGGGAAUACCAGCACCUCGAGUGGUCAGGAGGUUUAUUGGGCCUAAAGCAUCCGUAGCCGGUUGCAUAAGUUUUCGGUUAAAUCUAUGCGCUUAACGUAUAGGCCGCCGAAAAUACUGUGCAGCUAGGGAGUGGGAGAGGUACACGGUACUCGAUAGGAAGGGGUAAAAUCCUUUGAUCUAUUGAUGACCACCUGUGGCGAAGGCGGUGUACCAGAACACGUUCGACGGUGAGGGAUGAAAGCUGGGGGAGCAAACCGGAUUAGAUACCCCCGUAGUCCCUGUCUCUUAUACACA